GGACACCAUAGCGUCCUGCCGAGGCAGCGGCGCCAGAGACACAAAGCUGUUCACAUAGACGGGAGACUGCAGCUGAACAGUGUGCUGCGGUCAGGAUCCAGUAUUUGUUAAUCAAGGUCCCGCCACAGAAGUGCUGGCCCGUGGCGCUCUGAAUGGAAACGAUGUAUCUGAUAGAGUACGGCGCUGGGACGUAUCCACCCACGAUACGACUCUGCAUCACAUCCUGACCUGAGAAACAAACCAGCACACACGUGAAUUCACUGACAGCAUCUUCAAGCUCUUGAUUUUCCUUUCACAUACGCACACGUGGAGGCCGCUCUGACUCCAAACCUUUGUCUUGGAAGGAGAGAGUGUAACUCAAGCUCACCACGAGGAGCUCCAGGAGAACACAGAGCAGAAGCAGCGGCAGGUUCAUACUGAUGGAGACGCAGACAGACACAGAC